AUACGGAGGAUGCAAGCGUUAUCCGGAUUUAUUGGGUUUAAAGGGUGCGUAGGCGGAUGAUUAAGCGUGAGGUGAAAUGCCACUGCUCAACAGUGGAACUGCCUCGCGAACUGGUUGUCUUGAAUGCUCCUGCCGUGGGAGGAAUGUGUGGUGUAGCGGUGAAAUGCAUAGAGAUCACACAGAACACCGAUUGCGAAGGCAUCUCACGAAGGGGUGAUUGACGCUGAGGCACGAAAGCGUGGGGAUCAAACAGGAUUAGAUACCCUGGUAGUCCAUGCAGUAAACGAUGAUAACUAACCGCUGGGUCGUAGUGAUUCAGUGGCCAAGCGAAAGCGAUAAGUUAUCCACCUGGGGAGUACGACCGCAAGGUUGAAACUCAAAUGAAUUGGCGGGG
rnacentral:rRNA from 1 species